AUGGCACUACAUACCCUGAAUCUGGCUAGGGGUGGAAAAUUCAAAAGAAAUGACAAGAAGGAUGUUGCUCAAAAUUUUCAAGUUGGUGUUCAACAUAUUCGAAAAAUCUGGACGAUAGCAGAGCGACAAAAAGCACUUGGUCAGGAGGUGAAUGUGUCCACUGGAAGGAAAGGAAGAUGCGGAAGAAAAGGAAAGAAUGAUACUCUAUCCAAAAUCUCCACAGUUCCUUUGAAUCGAAGGUCGACUCUCAGGUCACUUGCUCGCCAACUGGGUGUCAAUCAUACUACACUCUACAAAAAA
rnacentral:rRNA from 1 species